GAUGAACGCUGGCGGCGUGCCUAAUACAUGCAAGUCGAGCGAACGGACGAGAAGCUUGCUUCUCUGAUGUUAGCGGCGGACGGGUGAGUAACACGUGGAUAACCUACCUAUAAGACUGGGAUAACUUCGGGAAACCGGAGCUAAUACCGGAUAAUAUUUUGAACCGCAUGGUUCAAAAGUGAAAGACGGUCUUGCUGUCACUUAUAGAUGGAUCCGCGCUGCAUUAGCUAGUUGGUAAGGUAACGGCUUACCAAGGCAACGAUGCAUAGCCGACCUGAGAGGGUGAUCGGACACACUAGAACUGAGACACGGUCCAGACUCCUACGGGAGGCAGCAGUAGGGAAUCUUCCGCAAUGGGCGAAAGCCUGACGGAGCAACGCCGCGUGAGUGAUGAAGGUCUUCGGAUCGUAAAACGCUGUUAUUAGGGAAGAACAUAUGUGUAAGUAACUGUGCACAUCUUGACGGUACCUAAUCAGAAAGCCACGGCUAACUACGUG
rnacentral:rRNA from 1 species